rnacentral:rRNA from 1 species
UACGUAGGGUGCGAGCGUUGUCCGGAAUUAUUGGGCGUAAAGAGCUUGUAGGCGGUUUGUCGCGUCUGCCGUGAAAAUCCGGGGCUCAACCCCGGACUUGCGGUGGGUACGGGCAGACUAGAGUGUGGUAGGGGAGACUGGAAUUCCUGGUGUAGCGGUGAAAUGCGCAGAUAUCAGGAGGAACACCAGUGGCGAAGGCGAGUCCCUGGAAAACUCCUGACACUGAGGCACGAAAGCUAGGGGAGCAAACAGG